UACAGAGAUGACAUUUCUCUACGUUGCCCAGGCUGGUCUCAUCUCAAACUCCUCAAGCUACAGUGAUCCUCCCACCUCCACCUCCCAGCAUACUGGGAUUAUAAGUGUGAGACACGUGAUGGCCCAUAUUAUUCUAUUUCAGAAUGUGUUUCUUAGGCCUUCUGUGUUCAUUUUCAAAGCCAUGAUGACACUGCAGAAUGACAGAAGAAAAUAUACAUUAUUAUCAGCCAAAUGGAAGCCUGCAGUUUUGUUUUCUACAACUUUAAAUUCUACAUAUUGUGUGAAGCACCAAGAAGGCCUAAACACCAACUCAAGAACUUUUACGGUAGUGAGAAUUGAGGGAUGGGCUGUUGGUGGUUUUAUCUGUAAAGAAUAUAAAAUCAGUAACUUGAUACCUGAGAUCAAAACCAUAUAUCAAAAAAACAUAGCGGAAUACCAACACACAGUUUUAUAGAACCUGAGCCUAAAUUAUCAAAAUCUUACUGCAUUUAAUACAGACAUCCAAGUCCAGUCAAAUAACAUUUCGUAAUAUCAGGUUAGAAUGUUCACAGCUCAUUGCAACUCAUCUGGAUUGAUGUCACCUCCCCAACACACUUGGCCUUCACUAUUGAUUGUCUACCCAACAAGCAACAGAGCCAGACAGGAGAUAUUUUAUCUAAAAUAAAGCAAAAUUAUGCUGAGAUCUAUUUGUGAUGUACUUUUUAAAGGCAGUGCAAAAAUGUCUUCUGAUACAUCGAGAAAGAUUAUCUGGAAUUAACCAGAAGAUAUUUUGUUCCUUUUAUUUAUUUCUAUUAUUUUAAUUUUGUAGAAACUCUGGG
rnacentral:lncRNA from 10 species